rnacentral:rRNA from 1 species
CCUACGGGAGGCAGCAGUGGGGAAUUUUGGACAAUGGGGGCAACCCUGAUCCAGCAAUGCCGCGUGAGUGAAGAAGGCCUUCGGGUUGUAAAGCUCUUUUGUCAGGGAAGAAACGGCAGUUUCUAAUACAAGCUGCUAAUGACGGUACCUGAAGAAUAAGCACCGGCUAACUACGUGCCAGCAGCCGCGGUAAUACGUAGGGUGCAAGCGUUAAUCGGAAUUACUGGGCGUAAAGCGUGCGCAGGCGGUUAUAUAAGUCAGAUGUGAAAUCCCCGGGCUCAACCUGGGAACUGCAUUUGAGACUGUAUGGCUAGAGUGUGUCAGAGGGGGGUAGAAUUCCACGUGUAGCAGUGAAAUGCGUAGAUAUGUGGAGGAAUACCGAUGGCGAAGGCAGCCCCCGUGGGAUAACACUGACGCUCAUGCACGAAAGCGGUGGGGAGCAAACAGGAUUAGAUACCCGUGGUACGUCCACGCCCUAAACGAUGUCUACUAGUUGUCGGGUUCUUAAUUGACUUGGUAACGCAGCUAACGCGUGAAGUAGACCGCCGUGGGGAGUCGGUCGCGAAGAUUAAACNCGAAAGGAUUGACGGUGAGAGACGNGACCGAGGCCGACGAGGAGGGGUUAGAGG